rnacentral:tmRNA from 1 species
GGGGCUGAUCGGUUUCGACUCCGUAUGUUGAUGUGAGAGAAGCGGGUCGAGGAAGCCAACGCUGUCUCGUUAACCAACGUUGGAAAACAACAAGUGCCAACGCAAAACGCACUGACUUCGCCCUCGCUGCUUAAGCGAUUGUGAAGUUGCUGGUCCGGAUGAGCGUCCGAUCCCGGUAGCCAGCAUCAGAUAGGACGCUAGACCUUCAACCCGGCCACGGGGUUGUAGGCGACAUGAACAGUGGCUGGAGCCCGUCACACCGACUCGUCCGCGUGAUCGGUGGGGCUUGAGGAAAGGCACAGCGGACUGCACCCGGAGAAGUCUCACUGACGCAGCGGAGGACCAGGGUUCGAUUCCCUGCAGCUCCACCG